CAGUGGUGCAGUUGGUAGCACUGUUCCCUUACAGCAAGAACGUUCUGGGUUCGACUCCCGGCAUGGAGU